AGGUGCUGCAUGGUUGUCGUCAGCUCGCGCCGUGAGGUGUCGGGUUAAGUCCCAUAACGAGCGCAACCCCUACUCUUAGUUGCCAGCAUGUAAUGAUGGGGACUCUAGGAGAACUGCCUACGCAAGUAGAGAGGAAGGUGGGGAUGACGUCAAAUCAGCACGGCCCUUACGUCCAGGGCUACACACGUGCUACAAUGGCCGGUACAGAGGGCAGCCACCUGGUGACAGGGAGCGAAUCUCUAAAGCCGGUCUCAGUUCGGAUCGAAGUCUGCAACCCGACUUCGUGAAGCUGGAAUCGCUAGUAAUCGCGCAUCAGCCAUGGCGCGGUGAAUACGUUCCCGGGCCUUGUACACACCGCCCGUCAAGCCAUGGAAGCUGGGAUUAGGAAACAGCUAUGACCGCAAAGGAGCCGCGUAGGGUAAAACUGGUAACUAGGGCUAAGUCGUAACAAGGUA
rnacentral:rRNA from 1 species